ACGUGCAGUUGACGGCGGUUGGUCCGGCUGGGGUCCGUGGUCCAACUGCAGUGUGAGGUGUACACAGACUCGGGACCGAACCUGCACCAGCCCUGUACCAUCUAACGGUGGGGCACACUGUGACGGACCGGCCCAGGAGACACAGGAAUGCGACACGUCCUGUGCAGUCUCUGACAUACCCAUUGUCGGUAUCGCUGUCGGGAUAGCUGCGGGGAUAGCAGGCGCCAUACUGGUGGUGGUUGUCGCUGUCUUCCUAGUGAGGAAGAGGCGUGCUCGUCGCGCCAAGGAGCAGGCUGAGAAUCGUUUCGGUUUGGACAACUUGGGACAACAACAUUGAAGUCUUGGGAAUGGAGAAUACUACCAACGCGACUUCUAAACCAAAGUAGUCGUUUUUUGUGUGAGGAUUGGAAUUUCAAUAUGAGCGAUAUUCUUAUGUCCUUGGUACCAGUACUCUCUCUUUCUGCAAGGCCAUGUAAGGGUGCUGUUUUGACGGUGAACGAGGUUCAUUAGUCACGUAUGAGUAAGUAAAGGGAGUGAUUCUUCAAUCAGUGGCUCACUAUAUCAGACAUAACGCAACCAGUACAAUGGUGGCAAUACCCCUUUCCCAAUUGAGACCGUAGCCAGUUGCAUAGAUCCAAUGUGAAUACAUACAAAACCUUUUUAUCCAAUUUCAGGAAUUUCUAACAUCGAUUCAGACGGAUUAGUAUAGUUGCAAAAAGGACAAACUUAAUUGCGGGGGCCAUUAUGUUACAUGUCGAAGAGAUGGGACCGCACAAGAAAUUACCUGUGUGUGAAAGGACUUGGAAAUUAUAUGGUGAACGAUAAUUUACGUUGCACUUGUAAUAUUUUUCUAAACCUAGAAACAUUUACUUAGUUUGCCUUCAUUGGUACCGAUCAUAGUCUGUAAUCAAUUUUAGUUGAAUGAUAAGGGACGAAAAUGAUAGAUCGAUUAUUGAUAAAACAAUAAAUGAAUAAAUAUGUGACCCUUCCAAUUGCACACUGGGGGUUGAGGGUAAUGUACUGUGAUUAGCAUAUAUAUGCCUGCUGUUAUCAGCUAUGAGAAUUAUUAAUUGUAAUGUACGUAAACAUGUGCAGAAACAUUGUUUACUUAUUUACUCCAGAACUUCGAGGAUAUAAUAGCAAAUUUAGCUUUUCUAAGUCAGUUGUUAAACCUAUACCGUAAUGAUUAUUAAGUAAUACUUGUCGAUGAUACAGAAAUGAUACAGAAAUGAUAUUCUUUAUUUGUUUUAAAACAUCAGUUUAUGAUUAUGUAAGUUUGUCCUAAACAUCAUUAAUAUCAAUGUCAAAUA